GGCCGGUUAUGAACUAGGGUCGAAAUCAGACCCCGAGGCACAAAACCAAGUCUUGACAAUGAUUCACGAGUUCUUUUGCAGAUCAAAGAAUGAGGUUUGAUAGCAAGGUGGAUAGAAUUUCAUUGAGCAUGGAUUUUGUAUGAUUUGGAUUUGUAAUGACUUUGUAAGAGCUUUACAAAAUCAAGUUUAUUUUCAAUUGACUUGGGAUUUGUGAAUUAAAAUAGGAUUGAUAUUUUGGGUGAUUUCAAAAAUUUUGUAAUAGAUCUAUAGGUGAAAAUUUGUAAGUUAAUGGUUAUAGUUGUGCUUAAAAUGUAUUAUGAAUUUUAGCUAGAUCUAAUAAUUGAAUUAAGGAUUAUUGAGGUUUAAGUGAGUCAAGGUCUUAGAAAGUAGAAUCUUAGGUCUAAUGAGGGUUUUAAGAUUUCUUA
rnacentral:lncRNA from 1 species